ensembl:lincRNA Gm28745 predicted gene 28745
GACACAAAGCAGGUCAGAGUGUUUUCAUCUUACAACAGUUUCAAUGGUUCGAACACUUACAUUUUACGAAAAAAAAUUAAAAUUCUUCAACAUUUGGGAAAGAAGUACUUGUAAAACUUUGCCAUCCAUUCUCCAUCUGGAAAAGCAAUAUUGUAAGUUAAGCCUGACGUGAUGUCUCCAGUCACCAAGUUUCCUGUAAAUUGAUUUCCUAUGGAAGUUACUUUCUUCUCACGGUACCAGUGUGUAGCUUGUUACAACUUGGACUAGCUGAGGACUUAUUAUGGACAAUUACAUGAUGAUACAU